GAUGAGUAGGGCGGGACACGUGGUAUCCUGUCUGAAUAUGGGGGGACCAUCCUCCAAGGCUAAAUACUCCUGACUGACCGAUAGUGAACCAGUACCGUGAGGGAAAGGCGAAAAGAACCCCGGCGAGGGGAGUGAAAAAGAACCUGAAACCGUGUACGUACAAGCAGUGGGAGCACAGGUUUACCUGUGUGACUGCGUACCUUUUGUAUAAUGGGUCAGCGACUUAUAUUCUGUAGCAAGGUUAACCGAAUAGGGGAGCCGGAGGGAAACCGAGUCUUAAUUGGGCGUUAAGUUGCAGGGUAUAGACCCGAAACCCGGUGAUCUAGCCAUGGGCAGGUUGAAGGUUGGGUAACACUAACUGGAGGACCGAACCGACUAAUGUUGAAAAAUUAGCGGAUGACCUGUGGCUGGGGGUGAAAGGCCAAUCAAACCGGGAGAUAGCUGGUUCUCCCCGAAAGCUAUUUAGGUAGCGCCUCGUGAAUUCAUCUCCGGGGGUAGAGCACUGUUUCGGCUAGGGGGCCAUCCCGGCUUACCAACCCGAUGCAAACUGCGAAUACCGGAGAAUGUUAUCACGGGAGACACACGGCGGGUGCUAACGUCCGUCGUGAAGAGGGAAACAACCCAGACCGCCAGCUAAGGUCCCAAAGUCAUGGUUAAGUGGGAAACGAUGUGGGAAGGCCCAGACAGCCAGGAUGUUGGCUUAGAAGCAGCCAUCAUUUAAAGAAAGCGUAAUAGCUCACUGGUCGAGUCGGCCUGCGCGGAAGAUGUAACGGGGCUAAACCAUGCACCGAAGCUGCGGCAGCGAC
rnacentral:rRNA from 1 species